CGCUGGAAGAUUUUUCUCACAUGAAAAAUGUUUUCAAAUUGGAUGAAAAACGGUGAUGCUUCCUGCCCUCAGUGAGUCCUGUUCCCAUGGUGCUGUGCAGACUCUCCCAUCCGUGUGGGAGAGAAAGAGAUGCAGCACUUCCCUUCUGAUUGCUUUUCUACUGAACCAAUGCCAAACGCUUCAUGUUGAUUGACUAAUGAAAAAGUACCACUUCAGCUUCCUCAGCCUUCAGGACAAAAUUCUCCAGCGUGGAAAACUUCUGCAGAGUGCACCUGGGGCCACCACUCAGCAGCUCCUGGUUGCUGCUGAAGGCCUUUGUGGUAAAAAACUGACCCGGUGAAAAUUCAGCAGUGCUAGAUGUGUCCAACUUGCUGCUUACAAGACUGGCAUGAACAAUGUGUAUCUCUGGACUUGGAUCUUCAGCACUUCUGUUCACAGUGCAACUCCUCAUGGGAGAGGGAUGAACCUGGCUUGGCAACCUGUGUGUUUUCUGCUCCCGUCCACUCUUGGAGCCAGGAAAGGAAGGGGAAAGCUGAGAUAAACCAGUGGAUCCUGGAGGCCUCCUAAAUAGGACAGUUCCCUUUUGGACAGAAAAGCUCCAGGUGCUUGUAGUAUUUAUUGAUGGUAAAUAGAAGCAUGUGAAAUGCAAGUGUGGGCAGAAGAGUAAAAGCAUUGCUUGCCUACUUGCCUACUGUCUUCUGAAUCCAGUCAGCAACUAAAUGUGUUAUAUUC
rnacentral:lncRNA from 1 species